rnacentral:rRNA from 1 species
GACGGAAGGUGCAAGCGUUGCUCGGAAUCACUGGGCGUAAAGGGUGCGUAGGCGGCUUGGUAAGUUGGGUGUGAAAGCCCCGGGCUCAGCCCGGGAAGGGCACUCGAAACUGCCGAGCUGGAGUGCCGGAGGGGAGAGUGGAAUUCCUGGUGUAGCGGUGAAAUGCGCAGAUAUCAGGAGGAACACCGGUGGCGAAGGCGGGUCUCUGGGCCGUAACUGACGCUGAGAAGCGAAAGCAUGGGGAGCGAACAGG